CUACGGGCCGCUGCAGUGGGGAAUUUUGCACAAUGGGGGAAACCCUGAUGCAGCGACGCCGCGUGCGGGAAGAAGGCCUUAGGGUUGUAAACCGCUUUCAAUUGUGAAGAAGGGAUGAGAGUUAAUAGCUUUCUGACUUGACGGUAGCAUUAGAAGAAGCACCGGCUAAUUUCGUGCCAGCAGCCGCGGUAAUACGAAAGGUGCAAGCGUUGUUCGGAUUUACUGGGCGUAAAGAGAUCGUAGGUGGUUUAUUAAGUCGGAUGUGAAAUCCCGGAGCUAAACUUCGGAACUGCAUUCGAUACUGGUAGGCUAGAGUUCGGGAGGGGAAAGCGGAAUUCCGUGUGUAGCAGUGAAAUGCGUAGAUAUACGGAGGAACACCUGAGGCGAAGGCGGCUUUCUGGACCGAUACUGACACUGAGGAUCGAAAGCGUGGGUAGCAAACAGGAUUAGAUACCCCCGUAGUC
rnacentral:rRNA from 1 species